rnacentral:rRNA from 1 species
UGGGGAAUUUUGGACAAUGGGGGAAACCCUGAUCCAGCCAUCCCGCGUGUGCGAUGAAGGCCUUCGGGUUGUAAAGCACUUUUGGCAGGAAAGAAACGUCAUGGGUUAAUACCCCGUGAAACUGACGGUACCUGCAGAAUAAGCACCGGCUAACUACGUGCCAGCAGCCGCGGUAAUAAGUAGGGUGCAAGCGUUAAUCGGAAUUACUGGGCGUAAAGCGUGCGCAGGCGGUUCGGAAAGAAAGAUGUGAAAUCCCAGAGCUCAACUUUGGAACUGCAUUUUUAACUACCGGGCUAGAGUGUGUCAGAGGGAGGUGGAAUUCCGCGUGUGGCAGUGAAAUGCGUAGAUAUGCGGAGGAACACCGAUGGCGAAGGCAGCCUCCUGGGAUAACACUGACGCUCAUGCACGAAAGCGUGGGGAGCAAACAGG